AUUGAACGCUGGCGGCAAGCUUAACACAUGCAAGUCGAGCGGGGUGAUGGUGCUUGCACUAUCACUUAGCGGCGGACGGGUGAGUAAUGCUUAGGAAUCUGCCUAUUAGUGGGGGACAACAUCUCGAAAGGGAUGCUAAUACCGCAUGCGUCCUACGGGAGAAAGCAGGGGCCCACUUGUGACCUUGCGCUAAUAGAUGCGCCUAAGUCGGAUUAGCUAGUUGGUGGGGUAAAGGCCUACCAAGGCGACGAUCUGUAGCGGGUCUGAGAGGAUGAUCCGCCACACUGGGACUGAGACACGGCCCAGACUCCUACGGGAGGCAGCAGUGGGGAAUAUUGGACAAUGGGGGGAACCCUGAUCCAGCCAUGCCGCGUGUGUGAAGAAGGCCUUAUGGUUGUAAAGCACUUUAAGCGAGGAGGAGGCUCUUUUGGUUAAUACCCAAGAUGAGUGGACGUUACUCGCAGGAUAAGCACCGGCUAACUCUGUGCCAGCAGCCGCGGUAA
rnacentral:rRNA from 1 species